AAUCGCGCCCUUUUAGGGUGAGGAAAGUCCGUGCAUUCAAGGACAGGCAGCCGGAGAAACUCCGGACGGCGUGAGCCGGUGGAAAGUGCCACAGAAAUGCCGAAUUUUGGCAAGAGCGCCGUGUCAGCGAAGCUGACCCAGCUCGUGCAGGCGAGGAAAACCACGCUUUUUCGAGCCGCCAAUAAUUCGGGUAGUAAAAUUAUUUACUGCCAAGACUGCCGAUGGACGAAAGUCACAGGCGAUGGUGCAACGGUGAGGUAAGAGCAUCACCAACGAUAUCGAGAGGUAUCGGUUAGGUAAACCCCUGCCGAAUGCAAGGUUAAGUCGAAAAUAUAAGGUGUCCGCCUUUUUCGAAAAAAACCGCUUAAGAUUGAAAGUAAUUUCAAUAUCAGACAGAUGAUUGUUUAGAAACAGAACACGGCUUAUGAGUUACUU
rnacentral:RNase_P_RNA from 1 species